rnacentral:rRNA from 1 species
CCUACGGGAGGCAGCAGUGAGGAAUAUUGGUCAAUGGACGAGAGUCUGAACCAGCCAAGUAGCGUGAAGGAUGACUGCCCUAUGGGUUGUAAACUUCUUUUAUAUGGGAAUAAAAUGUUCCACGUGUGGGAUUUUGUAUGUACCAUAUGAAUAAGGAUCGGCUAACUCCGUGCCAGCAGCCGCGGUAAUACGGAGGAUCCGAGCGUUAUCCGGAUUUAUUGGGUUUAAAGGGAGCGUAGGUGGAUUGUUAAGUCAGUUGUGAAAGUUUGCGGCUCAACCGUAAAAUUGCAGUUGAAACUGGCAGGCUUGAGUACAGUAGAGGUAGGAGGAAUUCGUGGUGUAGCGGUGAAAUGCUUAGAUAUCACGAAGAACUCCGAUUGCGAAGGCAGCUCACUGGACUACAACUGACACUGAGGCUCGAAAGUGUGGGUAUCAAACAGGAUUAGAUACCCCUGUAGUC